UUUUAUAUUUCUAUAGUAAUUUCUGAGUUUUCUAUUAAAAUUAGUGUAACAGGUCGAAAUGGUAAUGAAUUAAUUAAUUGGAAUUAAAUUACACCCGCUUUAGUGGUUUAUCUGAUGAGUAAGUUAAAUUAUAUUAUUUAGCUUGCUGCGUUUAAAUUAUAACGGUUAUAACGGUCGACUAGCCGCUCGGACAAUUCAUUUUCUGGUAAUCUGAGGUAAUAUACUUUAAAAACCGCAUUAAUUCAUUACUUUGAAUUGUUUUACAUCCAUUUCGGUGUUAAUUUGAUUUAUUAUUGUUUUUCCGUUGCUGUUUUUACGCGAUGACUCGACUGAGCUAGCCAUGAUGACCGGGCUGAGUUGUGUCUUUGUAUUAAAGUUUUAAACAGCGACGUAAAUACAAUAACUAAGCUGCACACCCUUAUUAAAUCUCGUUACAUAAGCUACGGUCAUAUUACUAUCAUGUUAUCGUGACCUAAAAAUAACAGAUUUUACAAUAACUUUGUACGUAUUGUCUCACGCACAAGCUGGCGCAUGCAUUUUGUUUGUCAUCUCUCUUUUCAGUAUUUAUUGCCAUCUCGUCCUGUUUGCAGAAUUAACUGUGCCUCCAGCCAUUAAGCAGACCUGAACCAGUUGAUGAAGGUCUUCAGGAUCACCAGAAACUACAGGCAGGUGUGUGAGAAAGUUGGAGCUACAUACUGCAGGACGUUGGUCCUCCAUGACCAGGACUGGACACCACUGUUGUCUAAGCCAGCCACAGUGGAUACAGUGAAGCCACAAACACAGUUCAUAGUUCUUGUAUUUCUAUUACACAUUAAAUAAUAAAAAAUAUAAUGUUAA